GCUCUAUUUUCGUUUAAAUAAUAUCUUAUCUCCUCGAAUUAGUUUAAGAAGUGUUUAUAUAUUUUACAAUGAAGUUGUUAUCAUUUUUGAGGGCUUCAUUUUAUAGUGGUAAAUAAUUUAGUAAAUUCGAAUUUGCGACUUAUCGGAUUUGAAAUUCAAUUGUAUUAGCGGACAAAAAAACGACGGAUUGACAGACAAAGUUGUAUAUUCCAAACAAAAGAAAAAGAUUGUGAAAAUUAUGAUAAUUCAACAUGUGUCAAAAGUUCAGGAGGAAGAUGAAAAUAUUUAGAAGAAAAGAAAAAUGAAAACCUACCAAGAUUUUGUGACAGAAAGUGUGAUGAGAUCUCAGGUUGGAGACGGUAAUGAUACGCUUAAAGUAUGCCCCAGAUCGACAUAGUGUAGGAGGACGAAAGAAGCUAGAAUACUAAUGAAGAUACAUGAACAUUGCUAUUUAUAGUUAUAACAAAAUAUUCAGAAUAUUGUUCCAUUUAACAUUCAGAUCUAGAUUCAGUUAUAAAAUACAAAGACAAAUAUACAAUCAGUGAGUUUGAUAGAUGAUUGAAAAAAUCCCAAACUCAGAGUGAUCAGUUAAGUGGUGAUAUAAGAAAAAACACAUGCAUGGAUGUUUGCUAUAUAAAAUGUCAGUGUUAAUAUUCAAGAAGGAUUUUGUUUAUCUUAUUUCUAAAACAUGCUUAAUUAAUACAUGAAGCGUUAUUAAAGUACAUACCGUCAAGUUUAAUAGUUUCAAAAAAUAUUAUGUAAAUCUUGCAUUUGUUAUAGUACCACAUUUCUUGUUUUGUACUUGUGAUUCCGAGUAUAAAAUAAAUUGCUAAAAUCAUAAGAA